UACGGAGGGUGCAAACGUUGCUCGGAAUCAUUGGGCGUAAAGCGCACGUAGGCGGCCUGAUAAGUCGGGUGUGAAAGCCCUGGGCUCAACCCAGGAAGUGCACUCGAAACUGUCAGGCUUGAAUAUGGAAGAGGGUCGCGGAAUUUCCCGGUGUAGAGGUGAAAUUCGUAGAUAUCGGGAGGAACGCCGGUGGCGAAAGCGAACGUGCUGGACCUCUUCUGACGCUGAGGCGCGAAAGCCAGGGGAGGCAAACGGG
rnacentral:rRNA from 1 species